rnacentral:rRNA from 1 species
AAUCCUACGGGAGGCAGCAGUGGGGAAUAUUGGGCAAUGGGCGCAAGCCUGACCCAGCAACGCCGCGUGAAGGAAGAAGGCUUUCGGGUUGUAAACUUCUUUUAUGAGGGACGAAAGAAAUGACGGUACCUCAUGAAUAAGCCACGGCUAACUACGUGCCAGCAGCCGCGGUAAUACGUAGGUGGCAAGCGUUAUCCGGAUUUACUGGGUGUAAAGGGCGUGUAGGCGGGACUUCAAGUCAGUUUUAAAAAUUAUGGGCUCAACCCCUAACCUGCAUUUGAAACUGUA